AGAUGUCCACUGUUGCUAGACUUCCA
rnacentral:piRNA from 1 species